UUGAAAUAAACCUGAUGGGUUGUUGCUGGUUCUCUAGAGAGCAUGUGCACGCCUUGUCAUCUUUAUAUCUCCACCUGUGCACUCUUUGUAGACCUUUCAGGUCUAUGUUGUCUCUUCAUUUACCCCAAUGUAUGUUAAUAGAAUGUCGUGCCUAUGAAAAAUAUAUA
rnacentral:misc_RNA from 1 species